rnacentral:lncRNA from 1 species
UUAUAUAAAGGAUAAUACCAAGUAAGAUUAUAACUAACGCUUGUAUUAAUUAUAAAUAAAUCUAAAAAGUAUACCAAACAAAAUAUUUUUAAUACACAAAACUAAUACAUGCAUUAUUUGCAUUAAUGCACGACCUCUAAGUUUAGUGUCCACCGAAUUUUUGCGUACUUCAACUUACCUAUGUCUUUUACGUAUCAGCACGGAUAUAUUCUAUAUCUGGCCGUCAACACUUAGAUAAAUGGUAUAUUAAUCACUUAACAUAUUUCGGGUUGCUAAAAUUUAAAUAAUAACUUUUUAUAAAUUUUAUUCACUUUUAUUGAUCACUAAGUCACGUCUUGAAAAAAUAAUAGUAAGUAAAAUAUUACUAAAAUCUGUCUGUUCAUAUAUCUUUAUCUGUCCACGCAACAUUAUAAUGAUUCAAGAAUCAGGAUUGGCAAAAUCAAGUUUAUAUUUCAGUGUGACUAGAAAAGUGAUAUGAACAGUAUAUAAAUAGAAAGAUUUUAAUUUGAAGCUUGAGAAUAUGACUAAAAUCUAAACUAGUCCUGAAAUAGCACAAGUCAAGUUAUAAAAAAGAGAGUGAGACCAUCCAAUUGGGCCUUAUUAUAUACUGACAACAAAUUGAGCGCAAAAUCUUAUAAUAAUACGUCACUGGUCACUAUGAUCCUCCCCCGCAAAAUCUUGGUGGCUCAGCACUUUCUAUAGCAAAAUUAACCUUGUCCAUCACUAUGAUCCUCCCCCGCAAAGCUAUGAUCUUCAUUGGUUGAAUUCAGUGUAUUGGGGUUGACCUUUAGCUAUACGUGCGAAAAUAUAAGCUCCACGAUAUUUAAAUUUUGAAUUCGUCAUUUAAGUAAUAAGAAGAUGGAGGUUUUGGUGAGAUAGUGAAUAAACGAAGCAAAAUAUAUAUAGAUAAACGAGGGAUUCAAUUUUCUCAUAAGGGGCAACUUCUACGAAAAUAACAUCCUGUCUCGUUUACAUAUUAAUGCAUGCGUUAAAAAAU